CUUUAUUAUGCAGCCCCAUGUUGACUACCUCCCUGGUCAAGUGUUUGAGGGCGGUGGCUGACACCUGUCACGCAUCAGUGCUAGAGACGGCGUUCCCAGGGCAACAGCUGGAUAUCGCCCUACUCUGGCAUUGUCUCGUAGAUCACCAUGCCAACAAAGACAAGAUUCCUCUCGACACUGAUUGGGUGAGUCUGGAGGCUGUCGGGCUCUCACUGGGUGUGGUUUCGAAAGAAUUCCUCUCUAAAACAGUCAACUCCUCUUCACCAAUCUCCUGGAACUGGCCAAAGCUCUCUGCACUAGCCCUGCUAACACACUCGCUUUCUACCAACUCGUAUUUCUCCUGACACUGGAAUUCUCUUAUCAAGGGCUCUCAGAUAUACUGGUCUUUCCUACACCAGCUGCAAGAGCUUGCUGUGAAGGAGAAAGGCCUUGAAGCACAUCACAGAGUGGUGCUACAUGCUACAGUGGCGGGUGUGCUGCAUCUAGCGUCCAAGAUUAGUCGAAAUGAGGUACUCAAGAUGACGCACAUCGAUGGAGUGAUUGCUAAGAGGAGGGAGACAGCUCCUAAGGCUAUGGUUGGACAUUCUUCUAGAAGGGGGGGAAUUUUGGGAAAUCCGAGGGCUCCCACCCAUCUUCAUGAAACCCUGAUUGUAACCACAGCCACUUGAGAUACAAUGUGCUAGCCCCUUGUAAAGGUACUUGAUAAUUCAUUGCAAACAUCCUAAUUUAAGAUUUCACGACAGCCAGGGUUUAUACCUUUAUGUAUAGUGAUGUAAUAAGUAAUAAGAGGUGUGGUCAGCAUUUUUCGGUGCACGUACACCUUCCCCCCCCCCCCCAAGUUUUUAUCCUAUGAAACCCUGACAGCAUGUGACGAAGGUUGAACAGAACGCCUACUACGGUUUUAAGUAUGGAGUUGCAUACUCUUCCUAAUGAAGUUGUUGCUAGUACAGUGGUUUUCCUUUGCAAGAGCACUACAACCACAAUGUAGUGAUUACCUCUGUCUGUGUGUUAUUUUAAUCCACCCAUAUACACCACCCAUAUACACCACCCACACAUCACAAAAUCACAGUAAAGUGAUGCAUCUUACAGACUAUCUAUACUGCAGACUUUCACACAACUUAAAGAGUAUGUACUCUACUUGCACAGCAUUAUCAUUCCUCCUACUCAUUUAUACUUGAUGCUCGAGGUCAACAAGCUGCUUCUGGGAAAAUCCAAUUUUAGGCAACACAAGUUCCUUUCAGAUUUAAUUCACUACAUAUGCAGCGGUAGUUAGACUCGGAUAAAAUGCAUAGAUAGUAAAAGAUAGUAAAUACAGUCCCUCAGCUCCCUAUACAUACAAGUUUUAGCUCAUAUCAUUUUGCCACAAUGAAUCAAGCAACAAGUUAGCUGAGCUACAUACCAUCGCAAUCAAUUCAGUUAGACGAAAUAUGAGGAGAGUUGACGUACUGUACAGCUGGAAAAUUUGGUAAUUAUUUGGCGAAUGCAAUGCAAUACUAUUUAUAUAUACAGUGACGUUGUGCUAACUUCAACGUAUACUCGGGGAUCACGUCUCGUAAUUGCCGGUGAAACCGCACUUCCUUGUUUGGAAGCGACUAAGUGCUUGCAAACCGCAGCCCUGUAUUGUGUAUAACACGUGUAGGGAUUCAACCACUUAAGUGACUCUGCAUAUAUGGAAAUGCGGUCAUAACCACUUACGAAACGUGAUCCCCGUAGUCAGCCACUCCUUCUCUUAUUUAUGGGCUCCUGUUAAUACUGACAAUCAUAACAGAAGCCAACCAAAAUACUGAUUAUACCCUAGAACUAGACUAUAGAAACUAAUAGAACCGGGGAGGAUUUGAUAUGGAGAAUGGUCUAUCAACACCUUGUGCUGAGACUUGCAUGCUGAACGAAAAAUUGUUACGCUAAGGAACCUGCAGAUGGCUGGCUCGCUCACUGUGGUAUAUCGGUUUGACCGAUAAUUCCAAACAUAUUUCUGUAUAAGCAGCAGGCUUAAACUAUCUUUUGUGAUCUGUCAGUGUUUGAGGUCCUUUGCAGUACAGUUUCUUCAGCCUUCACACUGCUUUCCAUACAUUCAGUGGACGGUUAGUAGCUACAUGUAUAUCAUAUCUGCUGGUAUAUGCAAGCUAGUCCCCGCCCUAGCCUCGAUUCAAGGCCGAUUAAAAUACGGCCUGGUACCUAUUGCAGGGGUGAUAGUGCGCAUGCGCUUCAAAUUACCUAGAAUAUGGGUAAUCGUACUACGAACGUAAAACCUUAGUAAAUUACACAGGAAAUUAGUCCGUUUACUAAAAAUAUGUUCCGUAAUACUUUAUCUCUAUGACUGAGUUCUGUAAAGCUGUGGCUUAUGCCGUCUAUUGCGUUGGUCUAGAAGGCUUGAACACUAGUUUUAAGACAGAAGAGGCUCUCAUCUACGUCUAGGAUGGUCCUAUAGCCGGGUUGUCUUCGCAAGUAGCAGUUUGAGGUACCAUACACUUCCCAUAGCCUGUACAGAUCCAAGGUAAGACAUCCUGACCAUACAACCGUCAUAGAGGUAGAUGAGAGCCCCUUCUGGCUUUAGACUAGUGUGAAAGCCUUCUGGAACAACGCAAUAGAGAGCUAAGCUGAUGUACAAAGAUAGAAAAUAGAUGAGAGAAAGAAAAAGGGGAUUCCCCAGAUUCUGGAGAAUAAACUAACGCAUGCGCACUAUCACCCCUGCAAUAGGUACCAGGCCGUAUUUUAAUCGGCCUGGAAUCGAGGCUAGUCCCCGCCCAUUCUCCAUUUCAAAUGCUCACCAUAAUUUGUAUGUGAGUUUCCAUAUAUACCACCAAGAGUAGAUAGUGAGAGCAUUUACUAUAAUAUUGAUGCCACCUUAUAGCGGGUAAUUUUUAGGGUCUCGCAGAUUAGCCAUUUUUGUAACCCUCAAAAAGUACCCAUUUAACAUACAAGUGCUAGAAGCCAUCAUUGCUUAGGACCACAUGUUGUUUGCAUAGCAACAUUUUGUUGUU